rnacentral:rRNA from 1 species
UGAUGCAGCAACGCCGCGUGAGCGAUGAAGGCCUUCGGGUCGUAAAGCUCUGUCCUAGGGGAAGAAGAAUGACGGUACCUUAGGAGGAAGCCCCGGCUAACUACGUGCCAGCAGCCGCGG